rnacentral:rRNA from 1 species
UACGUAGGAUGCAAGCGUUGUCCGGAAUUAUUGGGCGUAAAGAGUUCGUAGGCGGUUAUCUAAGUCUGGUGUUAAAGCCCCGAAGCUCAACUUCGGCAUGGCAUUGGAAACUGGGUAGCUAGAGUGUGGUAGAGGUAUCGGGAAUUCCUGGUGUAGCGGUGAAAUGCGUAGAUAUCAGGAGGAACACCGGCGGCGAAAGCGCGAUACUGGGCCAUAACUGACGCUGAGGAACGAAAGCCAGGGGAGCGAAAGGG